rnacentral:rRNA from 1 species
CAGCAGCCGCGGGAAAACGUAGGUGGCAAGCGUUGUCCGGAAUUAUUGGGCGUAAAGGGCUCGCAGGCGGUUUCUUAAGUCUGAUGUGAAAGCCCCCGGCUCAACCGGGGAGGGUCAUUGGAAACUGGGAACCUUGAGUGCAGAAGAGGAGAGUGGAAUUCCACGUGUAGCGGUGAAAUGCGUAGAGAUGUGGAGGAACACCAGUGGCGAAGGCGACUCUCUGGUCUGUGACUGACGCUGAGGAGCGAAAGCGUGGGGAGCGAACAGGAUUAGAUACCCCAGUAGUCCCUGUCUCUUAUAC